CGAACGCUGGCGGCAGGCCUAAUACAUGCAAGUCGAACGGCUCUUCGGAGCAGUGGCGGACGGGUGAGUAACGCGUGGGAAUGUGCCCUUUGGUACGGAACAACACAGGGAAACUUGUGCUAAUACCGUAUGUGCCCUUCGGGGGAAAGAUUUAUCGCCAUUGGAGCAGCCCGCGUUGGAUUAGGUAGUUGGUGAGGUAAAGGCUCACCAAGCCUACGAUCCAUAGCUGGUCUGAGAGGAUGAUCAGCCACACUGGGACUGAGACACGGCCCAGACUCCUACGGGAGGCAGCAGUAGGGAAUCUUGCGCAAUGGGCGAAAGCCUGACGCAGCCAUGCCGCGUGAAUGAUGAAGGUCUUAGGAUUGUAAAAUUCUUUCACCGGGGAAGAUAAUGACGGUACCCGGAGAAGAAGCCCCGGCUAACUUCGUGCCAGCCGCCGCCGUAA
rnacentral:rRNA from 1 species